UACGAAGGGGGCUAGCGUUGUUCGGAAUCACUGGGCGUAAAGGGUGCGUAGGUGGCGCCGUAAGUCGGGUGUGAAAUUUCGGAGCUUAACUCCGAAACUGCAUUCGAUACUGCCGUGCUUGAGGACUGGAGAGGAGACUGGAAUUUACGGUGUAGCGGUGAAAUGCGUAGAUAUCGUAAGGAAGACCAGUGGCGAAGGCGGGUCUCUGGACAGUUCCUGACGCUGAGGCACGAAGGUCAGGGGAGCAAACGGG
rnacentral:rRNA from 1 species